AUUUGGAAUUUUCGUAAAUUCAUGAAAAUUGAGUCUCUAGUUUCUAACUUUAAUUUUUUGUUUUCAGGUAAGGCAUUGCUGGUUUUUUGAAGAAUUCAUCAAGUGGGCUUGCAGCAACAUUGGAUCCCGUAUACUGGAAGUAAAUGGUGAAAUUUUCAGCCUGCAAACAUGAGAAUGUGAUGUGCUCCUUGUAACGAAAAAUAACGACAUUUUCAUGAUAUUCAACAGUUCACCGUCCUUAAUGAUAAUCAGGAUUUCAAGAUGUGUCCUACUGCUUGUGACGAGGACACAUAAACCACCGGCUGACCAUCAAGUCGGCUC
rnacentral:lncRNA from 1 species